GAUGAACGCUGGCGGCGUGCCUAAUACAUGCAAGUCGAGCGAAGCGGGGACGGGUGAGUAACCCGUGGAUAACCUCCUAUAAGACUGGGAUAACUUCGGGAAACCGGCGCUAAACCGGAUACUUAUCGAUGGAUCCGCUCUGCAUUAGCUAGGUGGUAAGGUAACGGCUUACCAGGGCAACGAUGCAUAGCCGACCUGAGAGGUGGCUCGGCCACACCGGAACUUGGAACCGGUCCAGACUCCUACGGGAGGGAGCAGUAGGGAAUCUUCCGCAAUGGGCGAAAGCCUGACGGAGCAACGCCGCGUGAGUGAUGAAGGUCUUCGGAUCGUAAAACUCUGUUAUUAGGGAAGCGGUACCUAAUCAGAAAGCCACGGCUAACUACGUGCCAGCAGCCGCGGUAAUAC
rnacentral:rRNA from 1 species